rnacentral:rRNA from 1 species
GAUGAACGCUGGCGGCGUGCCUAAUACAUGCAAGUAGAACGCUGAAGCUUGGUGCUUGCACCGAGCGGAGGAGUUGCGAACGGGUGAGUAACGCGUAGGUAACCUGCCUCUUAGCGGGGGAUAACUAUUGGAAACGAUAGCUAAUACCGCAUAAGAGUCGACAUUGCAUGAUGUUGACUUGAAAGGUGCAACUGCAUCACUAAGAGAUGGACCUGCGUUGUAUUAGCUAGUUGGUGAGGUAACGGCUCACCAAGGCGACGAUACAUAGCCGACCUGAGAGGGUGAUCGGCCACACUGGGACUGAGACACGGCCCAGACUCCUACGGGAGGCAGCAGUAGGGAAUCUUCGGCAAUGGACGGAAGUCUGACCGAGCAACGCCGCGUGAGUGAAGAAGGUUUUCGGAUCGUAAAGCUCUGUUGUAAGAGAAGAACGAGUGUGAGAGUGGAAAGUUCACACUGUGACGGUAACUUACCAGAAAGGGACGGCUAACUACGUGCCAACAGCCGCGGUAAUACGUAGGUCCCGAGCGUUAUCCGGAUUUAUUGGGCGUAAAGCGAGCGCAGGCGGUUAGAUAAGUCUGAAGUUAAAGGCUGUGGCUUAACCAUAGUACGCUUUGGAAACUGUUUAACUUGAGUGCAGAAGGGGAGAGUGGAAUUCCAUGUGUAGCGGUGAAAUGCGUAGAUAUAUGGAGGAACACCGGUGGCGAAAGCGGCUCUCUGGCUUGUAACUGACGCUGAGGCUCGAAAGCGUGGGGAGCAAACAGG